rnacentral:tRNA from 1 species
ACCUGGGUGGCUCAGUCAGGUGAGCAUCUGACUUUGACUCAGGUCAUGAUCUCACAGUUCGUGAGUUGGAGCCUCGCCUCGGGCU